rnacentral:lncRNA from 1 species
CCAAUUAUCUGCUUAACUCCAAGUCAGUGAAUUCCCCAGUGCUUCCGAGACAAACAAUAGAUAGUAUAAAGACUUUUGGCAGUUGACAGUUCCAUUUGGCUAGGGUUUGUAGCAAAUCCUUCUUAAAACUAAAGCUAUAUUUUUACAAAAUAAAAGCAACUAGCUGAGUUAAUUUCAAGCAGUCACUCAAGAUGUUUGCUUGAUGCAUUAGAAAACCAACUUUUGAAGGAUGUUUGAAUUCUCAUCCCUUUGGACACUACAUGGACACAUGCUCAGAAGAAGAAGUAAAGAGUGACAAGUUUCCAUUCAGCAAUGGAUUUGCUUUCAGAUGGUGAAAAUAGAUGUUUUCUGUUUUGUUUUCCUUUGUUUUUAAAUGUGAGCCUCACUGAUUAUAAAAGUAAUUUAUUUUGGUUAGCUCCAGUUGUCUGUCAUUCUUUUUCUAUGAAAUGUAUGAUAGUGGGGAUUCAGAAAAUAUAUUUCAAGCUGCAGUACAGUUCCCUGAUGCCUCAGUAGCCUAGCAUAGACUUUAUGGAUACCUGAGUUCUAAGUAGCUCCAGAGUAGGAAUGCUAUUCCUAUUAUUUUAUGUUUCCUUGAUGCUAUCUUACCUGCUUGCUGACUGUGGAGAACACUUUUUAAAUUUAUUUUAAUUUCAAAAAAUAAAAACUGGAUCUGUAAGUAUUUUUCAUUGGUCUUUUGUUAGCAAAACAGGUGUCACAGGCUGCCUGCCAUCAUUUGUGGGAGUUAAUGUAGAAAACAUAGGAAGCAUUCUAUAAUUCUCUAAAGCUAAGUGCUCCAUAGAGAAUGAGCAUUCCUUUAAAGAGAUGACAGAAAUAUUCAUCUCAGGGAUCAGGAACAAUUUAACCCAGUUUGGUGAGAGAAACUCCACGAUUGGUACAAUCUUGCUCUGCUCAUCUAAGCUAACACUUGGCCUCUGGUUUUAUUGUCUUAGAUUCAUGACGCCUGGUUUUUAAAACUUUUUGGUUUAAUCUAAUUAUUAGAUACAGUUCUGAGUGUUUUGUUAAGUUUCACUUCAUAGUGUAAUGGAAAAAGUAUCUGGCUCGGAAUUUAGGAUCCCAGGGCCAUCCGUUGAUGGUUGUGCAAUCUCAGAUGUUAUUCAUUAGGUUUGAGUAAGGCUCUUGUGGAAUUUGCAUGAACUCAUGCAGUAAAAGUGUAGUCUAUAAAGAAGACGUGAACCAUUUGUCCAUGCAGCACC